CUGAAUCCUGCUCCAGGGGCAGUGGCAGCAGAUGGAGUGAGGGUCGUGGUGGGGGAUCUCAGAGAGAAUGAAAUUUCAGUUUGUCGUGCGCAGCCCUCGCCGAUAAGGACGACGCAGCAACAACGGAUUUGUCCAGCAGCAACUUUAUUGUGAGGCUCUUAACAGCAGAUGGAGAAGGACCCCGAACCCUGUACAUGAGCCCAGCUAACUAUCCUCUGAGAGGCUCUACACGGCAGAGAACUGAAACAGAUGCUGAGACCCACAGCCAAACAUCAGACGGAGUUUUGAGAAUCUUGUGGAAGAGUUGGGGGAAGGACAGAGGGACCAGAAGGGGACAAAACUCUACAAGAAGAUCAACAGAGUCAACUAACUUAGACCCAUGGGUGCUCCCAGAAACCUGACACUAAGCUACGUGCAUGCAUGGACUGGACCCAGACCCCUUAAACUUAUGGAGUUGGUGGUCAGGUCGGUUUUCACAUAGGUUCCUUAGUAAGUGGAGAGGGGGCUGUCCCUGACAUAGACUCUGUUCCCUGCUGUUCGAUCACUUUCCCCUAGCUGGGCAGUCUUGUCUGGCCUUAGUAGAAGAGGAUGCCCUUAGUGUUGAUGGAACUUAGUGCUGAUAGGAAGUGUCUGGAGGA